rnacentral:rRNA from 1 species
CUACGGGUUGCAGCAGUGGGGAAUUUUGGACAAUGGGCGAAAGCCUGAUCCAGCCAUUCCGCGUGCAGGAUGAAGGCCCUCGGGUUGUAAACUGCUUUUGUACAGAACGAAAAGGUUUCUACUAAUACUAGGAGCUCAUGACGGUACUGUAAGAAUAAGCACCGGCUAACUACGUGCCAGCAGCCGCGGUAAUACGUAGGGUGCAAGCGUUAAUCGGAAUUACUGGGCGUAAAGCGUGCGCAGGCGGUUAUAUAAGUCAGAUGUGAAAUCCCCGGGCUCAACCUGGGAACUGCAUUUGAGACUGUAUAGCUAGAGUACGGUAGAGGGGGAUGGAAUUCCGCGUGUAGCAGUGAAAUGCGUAGAUAUGCGGAGGAACACCGAUGGCGAAGGCAAUCCCCUGGACCUGUACUGACGCUCAUGCACGAAAGCGUGGGGAGCAAACAGGAUUAGAUACCCGUGUAGUC